UUCAGAGAUAAUGAAUGUUGAGACAUAAAAAAGAUUUUACUUUAGGCCAACUCUCCUGAAAAAGUGGUAGGUGUAUAUGAUCUCCGCAUAAAGUGAAAAAUAUGGUUUCUGCUGACCAGAGGUUAGACUGUGGCAAAGACUGCUUUUGCUCAAAAUCUAUUAUCCCUUCCGAAAUGUAUAGAGCUGUCUGGAGUUCAUGUUGCCUUUUCCUGGAGAACAAGUAAAUCAAGUAAAUGGGAGGGGAAAGAGUAAGGACAGAACUGGGACUCAUUUCUCUCUUACUAAGGGGAUGUCCCAUGGAAAGAACACCUCUUACCAGCCUCCUAAUAAACGUUCUGAUGGUA
rnacentral:lncRNA from 1 species